CCACCAGCUGCUCCCUGGGAGAAAGAUGUGACAGUCUGCUUCCAUGAAGAUUUACAGCCUUGGAAACCCUAUGAGUUGCAAUAGACUCAUUGUCAACAGCCAAGUUUAGCCCCACGGAAGGCAGAGACCAAUUGCUGCCUUCUGAGAAACUGAGAGCCGACGCGAGUUUGAUUUAGCUCAAGACGCUGAAACUUUCUGCCCUGAAGGCUGGUGUGGUGGAACUGACCUUCCCAUUGCUCACCAUAUUAUGAAAAAAACAUUAAAGCAACAAUUUUUAUUACUUGCCCUGGGUCUAGAGCUUUAAAAUGUACUUUCUUUUUCCCCCACCCUCCCUAAACCACUUAACUUUUAAAAACAAACAACCCAUUCAUGUGUUUGCUACAGUCAGAUUAUUAGAUCUCUCCCUUUAUCCCUGGGUCCUGUUUCUGUAGCCAAGUAGUAGGACUGGUAUACUUCUUGGUAUCUGCAGUUUUUCUUUAGUUACUAUUUUAUUCAGCAAAUAUUCAUUUCAAUAACCAUUUAUUGAGCGUGUACUAUGUGUCAGAUAAAGAUGAAUGAGAUACUCAGUUUAAGUAGCCUAUCUAGGAGAGUGACCCUUCCACAGAUUAUUGCACCACAGGGUGAUAUGGAAGUAGUAGUGGCUCAUUUUGAAGGCCGAGAGGACGGAGAAGGGCGUUCCAAGGAGGGGAAACUACAGGGGCUGGGAAAAGGAGGUGGGAUUGAACAUGCAUUCCCAGGGAGAGACGAGGGGUUCAGUUUGGCUGCAGUGGAGAGGUCUUGUGAGGCUGGGGUGAGAUAGUGACAGUCCUUGGAUGCCAUGGAAUUUAGACUUUAUUAUAGCCUAUAUAACCUUUUCUGGAGUUUUUUAAGGUGAAAUUUGUAAGUAGAAGAGUGAUGUGAUUGGCUUUUCUGUAGGGAAUAGCUCCAGCAAUGUGUUGAAGGAACUGGAGAGGGGAGAGCCAGGACUCCAGAAGAAAAUGAGGAGGCUGUUGCUAUAGUCCAAAUGGAAAACGAUAAGAGUCUAAACUAAAAAAUGCUUGAGAGAUAUUUUAGAGAGUAGAGAGGGCAGGAUUUAAUGACUGGCUGGAUAUGGGAAAUAAGGUUGAAAAUAAUUCUGAGGUUUCAGAAUUGCUUGACUGGGUGAAUGGAGGUGCCACUAAUGAGCAUAAUAAAUAUAAGAUGAGGAAGAGGUUUUG